GAUGAACGCUGGCGGCGUGCCUGAUACAUGCAAGUCGAGCGAAUGGAUUAAGAGCUUGCUCUUAUGAAGUUAGCGGCGGACGGGUGGGUAACACGUGAGUAACCUGCCCAUAAGACUGGGAUAACUCCGGGAAACCGGGGCUAAUACCGGAUAACAUUUUGAACCGCAUGGUUCGAAAUUGAAAGGCGGUUUCGGCUGUCACUUAUGGAUGGACCCGGGUCGCAUUAGCUAGUUGGUGAGGUAACGGCUCACCAAGGCAACGAUGCGUAGCCGACCUGAGAGGGUGAUCGGCCACACUGGGACUGAGACACGGCCCAGACUCCUACGGGAGGCAGCAGUAGGGAAUCUUCCGCAAUGGACGAAAGUCUGACGGAGCAACGCCGCGUGAGUGAUGAAGGCUUUCGGGUCGUAAAACUCUGUUGUUAGGGAAGAACAAGUGCUAGUUGAAUAAGCUGGCACCUUGACGGUACCUAACCAGAAAGCCACGGCUAACUACGUGCCAGCAGCCGCAGUAA
rnacentral:rRNA from 1 species